UGUUCUCUCUGUAUGAUUAAGGUAUUCAUGUCAUUAUGUUAAUUAGUGGUAUAAUGUUAACUCUUAGGUUUGUUAGCCUUCUUGCUUAUGAUGCUUGUUAUGCUUACCUUGCUAAAAAAACACAAUAAAAGCCUAAUAUACAAACCAUCACAGAAAUUCUAAUGGUUUCUAUUAAAUAGCAUUAUGAACCAUUAACUUUUUCCAGUGAAACUAUUACAAAAUUCCUUAUUGUAGUGUGUUUUGGACACUUUUCCAAUAGGAUUUACCAUCCCACCCACCAAUAGAAUCCAUCAUAUACCAGCAGACACUGUUAUACUUACCAUUAAAACCAAUACAAUUCCCAUUAUAACCAUUAAAUCCAUUACAUUUUCUAUUAUUUUUGGGCAGGGUUCUAUUGUUUUUUCAGCAGUGUAUACAACAUGAGAUCUAAUUAAAUUUAACCACAAAAUUAUGCUUUGCAACAAAACUGUUGCCAGUACAGUUAUUUAUUUCCAUUGUUUAUGUUAAUGUUGGCUAUAGCCAAUAUAUUUACAAUAUAUUUACAGUAUACUGUAAAUAGCCAGUGUAAUUUACAUAUGUGUAGAUAGUUGAAAAGACAAACAUUUUCCAUUUGCUAUAACUCUGUUACGUGACAAAGCAUAUAAUUUGAGGCAGUAAAUUAACCAAGGAGCUAAUUGUUCCUCCCUUAGAUUAGAUUAUAUUAGAUUAAUAAAGUGUCUAAUGACAGACAAUUAGCAUGUUAGGGCAUGUUUAUUUAAAUUUGCAAUUUUUAAGAGUAAUAUUGUAGCCAACAGUCUUUUGAUGUCAAUUUCAACUGCGUCCUGUUUCAGGGGCACUUCUAAAAUAUUUUGGAGCAUCCUCUGCCACUUGUCAGGAUGAGGCACACUGUAAAAAAAAAUCCGUAAAAAUACAGUACGAUAUACCCUAAUAAUUAAAAGAAAUUUUCCGUUUUUGGUUUUUACAGGUGUUUUUCCGUAUUUUUGAAUUACGCUUUGCAUUGUGGGAACAAGAUAGUGAUGGGAAGUUCGGAUCAUUUUACCGACUCGGUCCUUUGAGUCUCGUUCAGCAAAAUGAACGAAUCUUUUUUCGAGUCAUUUCGUUCAUUUUGUUCAUUUUAGCAAAAUAUAAUUAAAAUGUUACGUUUUACUUCCCUAACACAUCUACUGCUUACACAAACGUUGAUCACACUACAAACAAAGCAAAACUAUAAUGCUAUAAGAAACAGAAAAUAUUAAUUCAUUGUUUACCUGGGUCUUUAGUCUAUGAUUCGCUCACCUCACCUCUUAUCUGACAAGUUUUCGGGUUUGAGUCGUUCGUUCAUCACCUGACAGCCCAAUUAGCUAACCAACACAGUCUGAGCCGGAAAGAGAAUUGAUUAGUUCAUUUCUCGAGUCCUCGGGUUCGAGUCGUUCUUUCAUCACGUGACAUCCCCGUAAUGUUAACCUAUGCAGCCAUGAGCCGGAAAGAGAAUUGAUUAGUUCAUUUCUCGAGUCCUCGGGUUCGAGUCGUUCUUUCAUCACGUGACAUCCCCGUAAUGUUAACCUAUGCAGUCUGAGCCGGAAAGAGAAUUGAUUAGUUCAUCUCUCGAGUCCUCGGGUUUGAGUCGUUCGUUCAUCACGUGACAGCCCCAUAAGGUGAACGAACGACUCUAAAACAGGUGAACUAAUUCCAGUACAGAACCUAAUAGGAUGUUGCGCAUGCGCGACUGAACGAAUCACUCCCCGAGACGACUCGUUCGUCCCGAGUCACAUUAAAGAUUCGUUCAAAAUGAACGAAUCGUUCAAGAACGACCCAUCACUAGAACAAGAACGUUCGUGGUUUACAUAGGCGCGAAAACAGUGAAGAGAAGACGCAGAGAGUUUCUCGGUCAAAGUUUCAUUUUAAUGUCGGCUUUCGAAUUUGGGAAACAUGUUUUUCAUAUACUCUUCGUGGUAAACUAGUUAAAUGUCGCAUAAAUUGUUUACGUAAGGUUAACUUAGUUGCUGUCUGGCUUGUUUGGCAAAUGAACGUCGGAACCGUCGCACUCAACAUUUCUCUGCAUAUCGUCACACAUCUUCCUCCUGGAGUUUUCUGCCAAAUGAGCACUGUACGUCCAAACGACGUCAUUUCAACGUCUUUGUCGUAAUAUAGACAUGAUCUGCACGUCGGGUGGACGUCUCAUGUUUGUUGGGUUUUAAUGACAGGACGUGAUUGCUGCUGUACUGUGAAUCUCAAGCACACCUGCAUUCUUAUCACGGGUGAUGGGCAGUUCAAGAUUACUGUAGUUCAAGAAGUUAAUGACCACUGUUGUGGUUGUGAGCUACAAAUACCCAGAAAAGGCAGCGCUUACAUUGGAAUUCAUACAGAAAGUUUUCCUGUGAAGAAAUCCUAAAUUAGGGUUGAGAUGAAGGCAACCAGGUGAUGGGCAGUUCAAGAUUGCUGUCGUUUGAGAAGUUAAUGAACAAAUCUUCUUUCCUGUUGUGGGCUACAAAGAGGAGGCGGCACUUCAUGUUCAUACAGAAUUGAUUUGACAAGCUCAUAUGACCGAUGCAAAUGGAGACUAUUGGAAAUAAAUUUCCUGUGAAGAAACCAUGAACGUGGUUUGAGAUGAAGGCAACCAAGUGGCUAUGCAUUCCUCCAAGACUCUUGCAUGAACAAUUUCGAGAAUCCAUGUAAUAUUUGAGUUUUUAAAUUGAAAGAAAUGGCACUUACAUUAAACAUGCAGUUAAAUGGGAAAUAAUACAUCCCCUAUAAUGAAUUGCAUCACUUCAAUGAUAUUUCUGUUACAAUGAACUUCACAAUUCUGUUGUCAAGCCACUGGAGUCACAUACUUUAUACUUUUCUGGACCUUGAAAAUGGUAGUUGCAUAGACAAUCAAUAGAGGGACAGAAAGUACCCAGAUUUAACUAAAAAUACUCUUAAUUUGUGUUCUAAAAAUGAAUGAAAGUCUUAUGGGUUUGGAAUGGUAUGAGGCUGAGUAAUUGACUGAAUUAACAUUUCUGUGUGAACUAUCCCUCUAAACAAUAUUGUUUUCUCUUAUAAGAAAAAAACGUUUUGCGUCUUGACUGUUUUACAGUUUGAAGUUUAAAUUUUGUGACCACUUUUUAGUACAGCACCUGUAUUGUACAGAUGCUCUUUUUUUUUUUUUUUUUUUUUUUUUUUAAUUCUGUCUGUUACUGUUCAAAGCUAAACUGUCUUUUACAAUACAGGCAUUUUGCCUGAGUUGACACAUUGUUAAAUGAAUUGAGUAUUUGAUAUUGUUUAGUCCUAACCCACUUAAUGCAAACAAAAGCCAUUGAAUGCACUUUUAAGAAUGUUUACAUGAAGUAAAA